ACUUUUUGGUUUUGUAAUUGGAAUGAGUUAAGUAUAAACCCCUUUACAAGUAUCAAUUGGAGGGCAAGUCUGGUGCCAGCAGCCGCGGUAAUUCCAGCUCCAAUAGCGUAUAUUAAAGUUGUUGCAGUUAAAAAGCUCGUAGUUGGAUUUCUGUUAAUAAUUUAUAUAUAAUAUUUGAUUAAUAUUUAUAUAAUAUUAACAUAAUUCAUAUUACUAAAUUUAUUAGUAUAUGAAAUUUUA
rnacentral:rRNA from 1 species